AUGUCUAUAUACAUCCGUAUGCAGUUUGUAGUGCAAUCUCUACCAAGACUUAUAUUUAGAAACGAAGGAAAAUUAACCAACAAAAAAAAAACCUACGAAAGAAAACUAGCGAAAAAAAACGUGUGGCAACGUGCGAACGAGCGAGCGAGGCCUUUGCCCUCGAGCGAGCCCACACCAGAUCCUUCGCCGUCGCCCUCGCACAUCAAGUCGCUGCCCUCGCCCUCGCCCUCGCAGCCGCCGCCGAUCCCCUCCCCCAUCUCCCUUCCUCAAAUGUCGUCGCCCGUCGCUGCCGCCCCGACACCUCCCGUCGCGGCCGCCCGCCGCUCCUCCUCUGCUGGCCUGAGCGAACGGAGCCAACCACCCGAAGGGAUCGAAGCGGCGGAGGAAGGGAGAGAUGGCGGCGGCGGCCGGGGGGAAGGAGACGAUGCGGGCACCACACAUCCUGAUCAAGCACAAGGGGUCACGGUGCAAGGCGUCCUGGAAGGACCCCUAGGGUCGGGUCAUCUCUGCCACCACGCCGCUCCCGUGCGCAUCGGCGAGCUCCACGACCAGAUCCUCGCCGGCCCACGCCUCCUUCGUUGACCUCGCCGCGCAGGAUUCCGUCUGAUCCUCCGCCCGCCGCAAUGGCGGUGACCUAGGCUGCUACUGUUAUACUAUUUGAUAGCACAACUUCAUAUAUAAUGCUGUCGUGCACAUAGCAGGAGAUUAGGUUUAUUACUUUUGCUUCUAGAUGGUGCGUUCUUAACAUGCAGGUAAUGCCUUUCUUUCUCGGGUCAACUUUUCUCUACCAUGCACGUGCUGAGAAGACGCAACCUGGCAGCCGCAGUCACUGGGUCUUCUUCAACGUGGGGACGGACGGACGGUGAGGGAUUCUCUGAUUCGUACUGUGUUUGUUGACUUUCUAUUUGCUCAGCGUUUGUAGACUUUUAUAUCUAUUAAUAUAAAGAUGUUCCUCUCCCUUUUAUCAACCUUUUUAUUUGGUUGUUAUGUGCUCGCUAGGUGCUUGCUGAAAUUCCUAUAUUAUGCAUGUGUAGAAUGGAUGAGAAUGUAGAUUAAUCCAACAUUAAAAAAAGAAAGUAGAUCAACCAAUAAAUUCAAUGCAGAAUAUACGAGGUGAAGAAUAUUACUGAAAUGCAAUCUUUCUUGCCGUCUGCUCUUACUAUGCAUUGGUAAAAAUAGACACUGUUUGUGCAUCAUUAGUUUCUAUUUGAUAGAUUUUUGUUCAUGUAAUCCUUCACUAAUCACCAAUCCAGUAGUUUUAGCUUCCAAUUUUGUCUACGAGUACAGUACAUGACAAGCAAUCAGUGGAUGACAUUCAAGUUGAAAAUUAGCUGCUAAUUCAUGAUAUACAGGUUGAUAUUAUCUGCACCCCAACUCAGGUCACAAGGUUUGACUGAUUCCUCACACUUGGUAGACUUGCAAAUAAACCUUGCACCAUCUGAUUUUGAAGAAAUUCUGAACAUGCCUAAUUAUUAGUCUCAUUAACCAUUUUUUAUGUCUCAAAGGCUCUAAACUCCAGUCUAGCAGAUGAGCCUGAAAUGUUAUUGCUCUCUUGUUGCUUAGCCCCCUUCCCGAUUACUUAGUUUGGAAUCUCUCUCUUUAUGCCCCUUUGAUGGUUAGAGAGUGGUCUUGAAGAUCCUUUUGGAUUUUUACACGACCUUUGUAUAUACAGAGAUGUCAGGUUAUUAAUUAAUGCUACCAGCACUGGUUAGGAUUGGCUAAUGAACUGUGUUGUGUCCAUAGCCUUUGUGGCCCGUAACUGAUCUGAGAUGAAGCUCCAUGGAUUCCUUCAAUAAGUUGAUGACGCUUUCCAUAAAUCUUCACAUAAUUGUUGACAAGUUCAGGGAUACAAAUAUAUCCAACUUCGACCUAUGACUGAAUAUUUCAAUUCAGCUUGUGUGCUAAAUGCUGUUUAACUUCAGUUUGCCCAUAUUUAAAAUUGUGUGCACCAGGGGGGGAAUCUCCAGUAUCUGCCUCGGUGAAAUUUCUGCACAGGUACAACCAGUGUGCACUGACAAAGGAUAACGGUAAAGGUCUCAUGGCGGAGACUAGCCAGACAUACAUCGGGAUGGUGGUUAGGAAUCAUCUGGGAUCUGUGGUUCUAUCUGCUGGCCGGCAAAUCAGUAAUGUGAAAGGGGCUGAGGAGGCGAAAGUGGAGGCUCUGAAAUUUGGUCUGCAAGUUCUAGCUGACGCCAUCCAAGGAGAAGUUAUUUCUUCACAAAGUUGGAAAACAUGUCACAAUCUCAAUUUCUGACCAUCAAGUGUUUAUGUUUAUGCGCACAAGGCUUUUAAUUUUCUAUUUUGAUGCUCUGUGCUUUCCAGUUGAGGAGAAAUCUGUUAAUGCCCUGAAAUCUUAAAUCUUGACCACCAAGUCUUUGUGUUCAUGCCUACAAAGCUUUUCAAUGUCUUUUUCUGUCCAAUCAUAUAUGCUGCCAUGCAAUUUUUGUACCAAUUUUUUUGAUGAUAUACUCUAUGAUGCAGCAGCUCGAUUUAAUUUGUG
rnacentral:rRNA from 1 species